CCCUUUUUUUUGUAACGGUACUUUAUUUAAAAAUUAGCCAUUUGAUUAAUGCAAUACAAAGCUUUAAAAUCAUCUAUAUUUGUUAAUAAAAACAUUAACACGACCUCAAAUCUCUUUGAGGCUUCCAGUAUACUCUCUCACUUAUUUUUCGUUUCAUCUAGACUUCAUGUGUCAUUUACUCCCUCCGUCCCAAAAUAUAAGAACGUUUUUGACAUUAUGCUAAUAUCAAAAACGUUCUUAUAUCUUGAGACGCAGGGAGUAGAUCUUAUGUUUCGAAUUCAUAUGAGGCAAGGUAUAUAUCUCAAUAAUGUAUCUCUAUUUGCAAGUAGUUUUUUGAGGUUCCAUACCCUUUAGCAGCCGUCGGCAGCAGACAACAAUUGCAUAAGAAAAGAAUAGUACACAAAAAGUGUUUGACUGCACAUAGAAAAUCUGAAGAUUACGUUUAUGCAGCAUUUCCGGCCCUGACGGCGAUAGACAGAAACGCCUCCUCGUCCGAAAAGAGGCCAUCUCGUGAGCUUCCUCGCCUUCGCACGCGGACCGCCGGCACCGGCCACCACCACCGUCAUGUUGCGCACAGCCGCUUCCCGCCUCCUCGUGCCCCUCCGGAGGCCCUCCCUGUCUCCGGCACCCUCCACGGCGGCCUGCACUCUGCGGCACCUCCGCCUCUUCUCCCCGCCGCCGCAGCCGCGUCGGGGUCCGGAUGCGGAGGUGACGCCGGCGGAGGCGCGGCGUCUGGUGCGGCUCGUGGGCGUGGAGGCGCUCAAGAGGCGGCUGCGGGAGGACGGGCGGGGCGAGGUGGUCGGCUACGGGGAGCUCCUCGACGCCUGCGUCGAGGCCGGCGCGGCCCGCACGCGCGGCGAGGCGGAGGUGCUGGCCCGGGCCAUGGAUGACGCUGGCGUCGUGCUUCUCUUUCGGGACAAGGCGUACCUCCACCCCGAGAAGGUCAACAUUUUGCUCUUGCUAGGUUUUUCUUCACUGGCACCUUCCCUCUUUCGUACCUAAACCUAACUAAACGAGGUGCUUUCACGACGAUCUGUUCUCCGAUUCCAAUUGGCAGCAUUUAUUUAGUGAUUCGAGUCCUUCUGCACGGAGAGAUUUACUCGUGAAAGCGCAAACUUUUUGACUACUACAGUUUAGUAAUAUUUGCGAAUUGGAUGUUCUAUGAUCACUAAUUUACCAGAUCACUACAUAGGUUGAAUAGGUUGCAACUCAAAGCUGAUCAAAUUUGGUAGAAAUACAGUGGCUUCAAAUGCAAUUUCAUUCACCUCAGUUUUUAUUUUCGGCCUAUAAUUAUGUUGUAAGUGGGAAAUGUAUGUAUUGGGGUCAUGCAUUCCCUGUUUGAACCGCUGCGCCAUAGGGAGUCAUGUAGACUGAUUUGCUGGCCGAAUCAAUUAGAUAAUAUUGACCACUGUUAAAUUGCGGAAUUGUGUUUAAUUGCGUGGAUGAACAACGAACAGUGGAAAGGACUAGUGUUGGGUAUAAUUGGGAGGUAACAAUAAUUUAGCUGAAGUAGCAUAUAUUCAGCAGGUGCGUAGAUUAAUUUUAUCAGAGUUAUAAAAAACAAGAUUGGACAAUUCACCUCAUGUGGUAGAAAUAAGGGAUCUCCCUUCUCUUCACCUACCCUGGUCAGAAUAAGGACCUUAGAAUCCUGUGAGCAGAAAAGUGGACAUUGUGUUCCUAUUUAGGUGAUGCCUACACCAGUUAAAAGCAUCCAAGCAUCCACCUCACAUGUGGGCAAUAAAUCCAAAAACUUUAUCUUUAUUCAACAAGGAUUGCCUCAUCAAUAAUUCAGCAUAACGUUGUUUCUGUUGCUUUCAUAUGUGGGCAAGUGACAACUUUGAAAUCUUUUGUGGUGAUCGUUUAUGUAUGGUUGUGAGUUACUCCCUCUGUCCCACAAUAUAACACGUUUCUGCAAGCUAGCCUAGCUUGCAAAAACAUCUUAUAUUAUGGGACGGAGGGAAUAUCUGGUUUUUCUUAUGCUAUACGAAAAAAGGCGGACAUGCAGUUCAAUUUUCAACUGAUAUAUUUAUGGUCAAUCACUGUUUUUAGGUUGUGGACCUGGUCAGAAGGGCGGUGCCGCUUGCACUCGCACCAGACAACGACACGAGAAAGGAAGAGUUUAAGCAGCUCCAGGAAAAGAAGGAAGAGAUCGACAAGCUGGCACACAAGCAAGUCCGGCGAGUCCUGUGGACUGGCUUAGGGUUCUUCAUGAUCCAGGUUGGGAUCUUCUUCCGUCUCACGUUCUGGGAGUUCUCAUGGGACGUGAUGGAGCCGAUCGCCUUCUUCACGACCACCUCGGGGCUGCUGGUUGGCUAUGCCUACUUCGUCAUCACCUCAAGGGACCCGACGUAUCAAGACUUCAUGGAGAGGAUGUUUGAGUCGAGGAGGAGAAAGCUUUGCGUGAAGCAUGGUUUCAACAUGGAGAAGUACCUGGAGCUGCAGAAACAUUGCAAGUGCCCUCUGGAAGACCAUCAUUCUCAGGGGCAUGACUCGCAACACCUGAGCUGAAGUUUCUCAGUUGUUUCUUGAUGCUGACAGUGUCAUCUCUAGCUUUUAGAAGAGCGGCCGUUUGCAUUAUCUUAUACUGAGUUUGUAUUACCAAAGUGAUAUAUAUAUAUUUACAUAAACCAGCUGUCGCCUAACAGGUUAAACCUAAGAGUUUAAGCUUAUUUAGCCCUGUGUGUAUCAAGUGGGUGUGCGAGCUGUGGUUGUGGUCACAGCUCUGCAAGUGUUCAACUAUCAAUCUUGCAGCGCCGGCAAGGCCAGGGCUUGGGCUGUCAGCCCAAUGCGGUGACAAGCUGACAGCCACCAUCAUCUGCACUUCGUUAGAGCAUCUCUAAUAGAAUAUACAAAUUUGGAGAUGUAAACAGGAUACAAAUUUGGAGAUGUAAACAGGAUACAAAUUUGGAAAUGUAAACAGGAGAUGUAAAAAUUUGCAUCUUCAAAAAGUGCAUUUUGCAUCUUCAAAAAAAAGGCAACUCCAAUAGAUUAUGUAUAUUUGUGAUGUAAAAGUGCAACUCCAACAGAUGAUGCAAACGAAGAUGUAAACUAGUUCAACGGCGGCAUGGAGGUGGUGCGGGCUGCGGACUAAGCGGCAGCGACCGAGCACCGAAGGAGCGCCAACGGCCGAGCGAUGAGGAGCGGCGCGGCGCUCGAGCCUUUGCCUUCAAAUGUGGCAGCGGGAGCUCAAAUGGCCAGCAGCAUGGGCUCGAAUUGGGCGGCGGAUUAACAGCGGCGCGGGCUCAAAUUGGGCGGUGGAUUAGCAGCGGCGGGGCGGCGCAAGAAGCACGAAUCAAGUGGCGGCAGCAUGGAGGCGGGUGUGCGGCUCGAAUCCAGAAUCGGCGGGGUGGUAGGGGAGCUCGAAUCAGGCGGCGGCGUCGUGGCGACGAAAAAACGACAGACGCAGCCGAUUUUCUAGCGGAGGGCGGCGGAUGUGCGGCUCGAAUCCGCGGUGGCGGUGCGGCGGAGGAAGCUCAAACCUGGAGGCGACGUCGCGGUGACGAAAAAACAGGUGAUGCAGCCGAUUUUUAGGCCGAGGACGGCGGAAAAGCGAUGGCACCGGCGACGGGGGAAGUCGGGUUGGCGCGCGGCUUUCAGUUUUGCAUCUGUGUUUACAUCUCCGACGGUUGGAGAUGUAAAUUUGUAUCACGAGGUGUUGUAUUUUACAUCUUCGUGAGGUGGAUCUAUAUCUUCUGUUGAAGAGGGAUUUGGGGACCUUGAAAAUGAAUUUAGUUAUUUUUACAUCAACAUCAUCUAUUGAAGAUGCUCGUUGCAUAUUUCGUAACAAGAUAUUGAAGCCCUAGGUUUUCUCUUAUCCUUGGCCACCGCAGCUCAUCCAAUCUAGAUUGAUUUUCUUCUUGUUGUUCUUCUUCCCUGACUAACUCUCGGCCUCCUUUCCCUGAUUGAUUCUCGGUCUCCUUUCGAUACAGAUAGGUUUGUUCCCCGUCGAUUUGUUGCUUCCCACCACCACCCAUCAAUUUACUGCUGCUCCACUCUCGCAACCUUGCCUGGCUGCUCUUCCCGUCAGCAGUCGUCCCAGCACGUCCUCAUGUUCCACGAGGCCGCGGGCUAAACUCCAACCAUUUUGUCCACGCGCCAAACGGACACAAAAAUCGGCCCAAAUAAACGUGCGUCCGCCUUUUAUCCGUCUGUUGACCCAUUUCCAGUCCAAAUUUAGACCUCGUUUGCAUCGAUGCGGAAACAAGGAGGACGCGCGCGAUGCCUGCCUACUUCUCUUCCUGGCCCGCUAGUCGGUGGCACAUAGGCCAUUCUCUUCCUCCCAUGGACAGCCAGCACACCCGGCUGCCCCACCCCGUCGCCACCACCACCCAGUUCUGGUGCCUAGGCCACCCGUCCGCGCCCACAUACCUCCCUCGCAGCACGCCACCUUCCAACGUCGCUGCCACCACCGCCUCGCCACAUCGUGGCAACUUCCCUGACAUCGCCGCCAACACCACCUCGCCCACGUGCCCCCGGCCCUUCCUGAAGCGGACAAAAGUGCAACGACCUCGCUCGUCUGACGCCGCCACGCUUGUCGGGCGCCGCCAAGGCCAGCUACCUGGUCCAGAGGAGGCGCGUGGCGCUUCACCGGUCAGCUUCUUCGACGAUGCCCGCAAGCUAUUCGACGGUUUUGCUCGCAAUGUACAAAUGGACUCCGCCGACGAGUUCUUUUUCCACAAUUUCAUUUGCGACUCUGGUGACUCUUCAUCCGACAAUGAGGAGCUUGCAGCUGCUGUGUUGGUCGUCCAUGACCACCUUAGUAGGCAGCAGCCGAUGUUCCGGGGCUCGAUCCCGGGGCACACUCCAGCGUUGGAUCGCAACCGAGAGAGCGGUCAUUUCCUACUCUGGAAGGACUACUUCGAGACACCCAACCCGCUCUUCAAACAUUACCUAUUCCGGCGGCAUUUUUGUAUGGCUAGGCAUGUUUUCAACCAUAUCCGGGAGGGAAUGGUGGCAUACGAUAAAUAUGUCUGAGUGCAAGGAGGAUGCCCUUGGGAAGAUUGGCUUCUCCUCUUAUUAAAAAUGCACUGCAGCUAUUCGGAUGCUUGCAUACGGAGUUUCCGGUGAUCUCAUUGAUGAGUAUGUCCGUAUGAGCGAGUGCACAUGUUUAGAGUCCAUGUAUAAGUUCUGCAAGGCUGUGAUAGCAGUGUUUGGCCCUGAGUAAUUGAGAGAGCCAAAUGUUGCAACAACCCGCUUGUUGGUGAUGAAUGCCAGCAGGGGCUUUUCGGGGAUGCUUGGUAGCAUAGAUUUUAUGCACUGGGAGUGGAAAAACCGCCCUUCUGCUUGGCAGGGGCGGCAAGGGGCCAUGUUAAAGCUCGCACCGUCAUACUCGAGGCCAUGGCAUUACAAGAUCUCUGGAUUUGGCACUCUUUGUUCGGCAUGGCCGGAUCUCACAAUGAUAUCAAUGUGCUUCAACGCUCUCCGGUGUUUGCAAGGCUUGCCGAAGGCAACUACCCGAAGGUCAAUGUUAACAUCAAUGGCCACAACUACAACGAAGGAUACUACCUAGCUGACGAUAUUUAUCCUCAAUGGACUACUCUGAUGAAGACAAUCUCCAAUCCUGUAGGAGAGAAGAGGAAGAGAUUUGUCCAAGAGCAAGAGAGUGCUAGGAAGGAUGUGGAGCAUGCCUUUGGUGUUCUGCAAUCUUGAUGGGCAAUCGUUUAGUAUCCUGCUAGAAUUUGGAGCACUAAGUUGUGGGAGGUAAUGACUGCUUGUGUGAUCAUGCAGAAUAUGAUCGCAGAGAAUGAGCGUCCGGAACGUAUCUAUGACCAAGGGUUUCAGUUUCAGAGUGACAAUGUUGUGCUUGAGCAUGGAGGAGCAGCAACGUUUGCACGGUUCGCCUAAUUUCAUCAUCAAAUGCGUUGUUGUGAAACUCACAUUUAGCUGCAAAAUGAUUUGAUUGAGUAUAUGUGGGUUCAUGUUGGCAACCAAUAGAUGUAUCUUUUCUUAAAUGUAUCUGAGACAAUUUAAUUUUUAUUUGUCUUGUAAACUAUGAUAUAAUUGUUUGGUUGUAAAACUGUGUAAGAUAUUUAUAUUUUUUUUGAAAAAAACACGUCCGCAAGUUGGGUGCACUGCCAACCCAAACGCAAAAGGGGGCGGACGACAAAAAUCAUCAGCACCUUGGAAUUGCUCUAACGUUUGCCAUUUCAAAGGCUUGCACCAUUAUUGGAGUGAGCAAACCUCUGCGAACUGAAUUUUUGACAAAAAGGACCCCUUGACCAGCGAAAAUGUCAAAAAAGACCACCCAUGGACAAAAAUGUCAAAAAAGACCAUCUACACCGUGGCGGCAGGUGCGCCAGCCGACACGUGGCACCUGCCGCCACGGGAUCCGGCGGCAGCACCUGCCGCCACCGGCUUAGGCGGCAGCCUCAGCUGCAUAGAAUUUUGACCGACGACGCAUGCGAAAACGGAACGGGCUGGCGACAUGGCACCCGCCGCCCCGCUCUCUGGCAGCAGCCUGUGCUGCUUUUCUGUUGGGCCAUAGGUGGCAGACGCUUUGCUAGUCGAGAUGCACUGGCCAGAUGCCUUUUCUGUUGAUUGAGUUAGACUAAACACCUCAGUCGGUCAGUCCUGUAUUUAGGAUUAAUCCAGAUGACUCCACAUAGCACAGGGCAACGAGAGAGAGAUGGGUGCACAGAAAACAAAACGGCAGAGGCACCACGGCCAGCAAUGCGUCUGCCACACUAAGAACCAACGGACGUGCCGUUUGGCGUGAAAAGCAGCACAGGCUGCCGCCAAGGAGCGUGGCGGCAGGUGCCACAUCGCCAGCCCGUUCCGUUCUUGUGUGUGCCAUCGACCGAAAUUCUGUGCAGCUGAGGCUGCCGGUCGAGCCAGUUGCGGCAGGUGCUGCCGCCAGAUCCCGUGGCGGCAGGUGCCACGUGUCGGCUGGUGCACCUGCCGCCACGGUGCAGGUGGUCCUUUUUGACAUUGUCGCUCGUAGGUGGUCUUUUUUGACAAUUUCACUGGGCAGGUGGUUCUUUUUGACGAAAAAUCCUGCGAACUCGCGCAGAGCAAACAUCAACCGCAGUUCCAGAACCAGGAUAAAAAAAUGUAGCAAAGCUCCACAAAAGCAGAGAAAUUAGAUUGCGAUGGAUAACAGGAAUUUGGCUUUCUAGUGUGAAAACAGAAAUGUCAGCACAACAAUUCUCACACUGAGUACAUGAGGUAAAGUACUGGUUUCCUCAUGUAAACCCUUGGUUGACUACAGCUAUGCGCCCACUUGUUCCAAUAUUCAGACAUUACAACUUUUUUGGCCAACGAUAACGCUGGGAAAUAUUUGUCCAAGGCAACAUGAAAGUCACCGCACUUCAAUGAUUUAUGGAAGAAUAAGGGGGUUCCAAUGUUCAUGCUGUUUCCUAUUAGUAAUGGACUAUUGGCUGGCCCAGUAAGUGUUACUGGUACAGAUUACUAGCUGCAUCACGUUCUUGUCUGAUACUGAUCUCACCAUCGGUGUUGUAUCUGAAAGGGGAACAACAAUAAUAUA
rnacentral:lncRNA from 1 species